rnacentral:rRNA from 1 species
UACAGGGGGUGCAAACGUUGCUCGGAAUUAUUGGGCGUAAAGCGCGCGUAGGCGGCCACUUAAGUCGGAUGUGAAAGCCCCUGGCUCAACUGGGGAAGUGCACCCGAAACUGAAUGGCUUGAAUGCAAAAGAGGGUCGCGGAAUUCCUGGUGUAGCGGUGAAAUGCGCAGAUAUCAGGAGGAAUACCGGUGGCGAAGGCGGCAUCCUGGACCGGCAUUGACGCUGAGGAGCGAAAGCUAGGGGAGCAAACGGG